UUUGAGAGGGAACUCAACGACUUCUUGUCACUCCAAUCAGAAUGGCCUUUAAAAGCCUAUUCUAAUUGUAAUGAGACCACAUUUAUUCAGUUCUUAUACACAUGGUUAAGGUGAACUAAGCAACACACACAAAAUGCUGGUGGAACGCAGCAUUUUGUGUGUGUUGCUUGAAUUUCCAGCAUCUGCAGAUUUCCUCGUGUUAAGGUGAACUAAGAGCCACUCUUAUGCAGACAUUAUUGGAUAUAUAUAAGCAACACACAAUAUCCAGCAUCUGCAGAUUCUCUCUUGCUUGGAUGUAUAUAAUGCAAGUUGAUGUUCAAGUGCACAUAUAUUUGCCACUCCAAAUAUCUACGAAGUUAAACUGCUGCAUGCACAUUAAUUGAAUCAUAGAAAUGAAUGAGAUAAUAUUUUAGGUUGACUUAUCAGCCCUAGAAGAAUUGUAAGUUUUUGAUAAAUACAGAAAUGGGAAAAGUGAGCAUGGGUAAACAGACAGGAGAUGCUUUAUCUUACAAUAGAGUGACUAAAUUAUAACAAAAAUGGAAGUGCAAAGCAGAAUGGGGAACUGAGAUACUGAAAUAAAUAAACAUUAAAUCCUGAGAUGUUUAUUGUGGCUAAACAAAAGAGAAGCAAACACAGAUAAUGUUAAAAGAAGAAGACUUCUGUGACGCAGGAUUCUGGGGAAGAGAGAUGGGUGCCCUUCAGAGUGUGAUUCUUCCCACUGGCCAUCAAGUAACGGUAUUUUCACCCCUACUUCAACUCUUGUUCUUUCUUUUUCAGAUUGGAGCUCUUUGCCGUUGUAAAGAGAAAGCUGAAAUGUAACUUACCUACAAUAUACUUAACAAUAUAGACUACUUAAUUCUCGCUUUGGCAGUCUGAGGUACCCACCUGCUUCAAGCAGUCUUCAGUUACAUAGGUGCUAAGAAGGUAUAAGUUGUGGUAACUUGCCUCAAUGACAAUGGUCCAGUAGCACUUACAUCCACUGUGAUGGAGAGUUUUGAGAGGUUGAUGAUGAAACACAUUAACUCCUGCCUGAGAAGCAACUUGGUUCCAUUCCAAUUUGUGUACCGGCACAGCAGGUCCACAGCCGAUGCCAUUUCAUUGACUCUUCACUCAACCCUGGAACAUCUGGAUAGCAAAGGUGUACACAUUAGGAUGCUCUUUAUCAACUACAGCCUGUCAUUCAAUACUAUCAUUCCCUCAAAGCUAAUCAAUAAGUUUCAAGACCUUGGCAUCAAUACCUCCUUAUACAAUUGGAUCCUUGAUUCCCUCACUUGCAGACCCCAGUCAGUUUGGAUUGGCAAUAACAUUUCCUUCACAAUCUCCAUCAGCACAGGUAUACCACAAGGCUGUGUGCUUAGCCUCCUGCUCUAUUCACUUCACACUUACGACUGUGUGACUAAGCACAGCUCCAAAGCCAUUUUAAGUUUGCUGACAACACCAAUUAGUUGGUCAAAUCAAAGGUAGUGUUGAAUCAGCAUAUAGGAGGGAGAUUGAAAAAUUUGGCUGAGAGAUGUGACAACAAUCUGUCAAAGUCAGUAAGACCAAGGAGCUGAUUAUUGACAGGAGGAGGAAACCAGAGGCCCAUGAAUCACUCCUCAUCAGGGUAUCAGAGGUGGAGAGCAACUUUAAGUUCCUUGGUGCUGUUUUUUUCAGAGGACCUGUCCUGGGCCCAGCACAUAAGAACAAUCAUAAAGAAAGCACAGCAGCACCUCUACUUCCUCAGAAGUUUGCAAAGAUUCAGCAUGACAUCUAAAACUUUGACCAACUUUUAUAGGUAUGUGGUGGAGAGUAAAUUUACUGGCUGCAUUGCUGCUUGGCACGGAAACAACAAUGCCCUUGAACAGAAAAUCCCACAAAAAAUAAUGGAUAUGGCCCAGUCCUUCAUAAGUAAAGCUCUCCCCAUCACUGAGCGUAUCUACAUGGUGCGUUGUCACAGGAAAGUAGCAUCCAUAACAGGGACCCUCACCACCUCGGUCAUGCUCUCUUCUCACUGCUGUCAUCAGGAAGAAGGUACAGGAGCCGCAAGACUUACACCACCAGGUUCAGUGACAGUUAUUACUCCUCAACCAUCAGGCUCUUGAACCAGAGGGGAUAACUUCACUUGCCCCAUCACUGCACAAUUCCCACAACCAGUUCCCACUUUCAAGGACUCUUCAUCUCAUGAUCUCAAUAUUUAUUCCUUGUUUAUUUAUCAUUAUUCUUUGUUUCUUUCUUUUGUGUUUGCACAGUUUAUUGUCUUUUUUUGGUGUGGUCUUUCAUUGGUUCUAUCAUGGUUAUUAGAUUUAUUGAGUAUGCACACAAGAAAAUGAUUCUCAGGGCUGUCACUAAUUAACCCAUUCGUCUUUGGAAUUUGGGAGGAAACCCAAUGGCCACAGGGAGAAUGUACUCACUUUUUACAGACAACAGUGGAAUUGAACCCAGGUUAGACCUUAAGACCAUAAAACAUAGGAGCAGAAUUAAACCAUUCGGCCCAAUAGAUUGCUGGUGCUGUAAUAGUACUACACUAACCUCCAUCCUACAGCGCCGCUUAAUUUCCUUAUCGAUAAAACUAGAGGACAAAGGUUUUUGGGAAGAGAGGAAAUAUUCAGAGAUAUGAGAAGAACUUAUUUACUCAGCAGUGAUUACCUGGAGUGCAUUGUCUGAGAGAAUGUUUAAAGCUGCAUCACUGACAGCAUUUAACAAAUGUCUAGGGUGGACACUUGAAUCUUGUAGGCUCCAAGAGCUGUAGACUGUGCUGGGUAAUGGGGUUAAUGCAGAAUUACGUACACUAGUUGGUGUGGACUGUUCGGGUGAAAUGGCCUAUUCCCUUGUACAAAUCUAUCAUUCAAGUGGAAUAUGACAGAAAAUCUUAGUAGUUGAGGCAACUCCAGGAGCCCAUUACUUGCAGGCCACAGCUUCAGCUCAGCACAGAUUUGAGUAAACUUGAGAAAUAAUGAGCUGAACACCUGCCCAUCCCUUGCCUCCGACCCCAAUACCCUGAUCUUUUCAAUCUGGUCCGGUGUUCAAAUUGGCUAAACCUCAGCUCAUUCUUCACUCUUGGACCCAACCCUGCCACUUUGAUAGGCUCUCAGGGCUGGACCCCACUAGCUUGAUUUGGCCUGUACCCAAUCUUUCGAAUUAGAGCCAGCACUUAAAUCCAUCAAAUCGCGCUUGUUCCUCACUCUUAGGCCUGGGCCCUGCCACCUCGACUCUGUUCUGCUGCUUUGAAUUGCUUCCAAGUCUGCUCUAGCAAUAGCCAAAUAUUAGCUCAUUCCCUACUCUCGGUCCUGUGCUUGGCCCCUGCCACCUUAAUUCAGCCUGUACAUGCAUGCUGCAAUUAUCUUGCACCUUUGAGACCAGUUCACACCUUAAAAAUGCCAGGUUGUUCAGGCAGUUCAAAAACUCACCUCCAAAAGGGAAGUUACAGGCUUUUGAUUGCAGUGAUUAUUUUUGAGAAGAAUUGUGAGUAAUAAAGUAAGUAGUAGCUGUGUUUGCUGCCAGCAAGUUAUCGCUGUGCUUCACCAGUGCCAUCUUAAACCAGAAGAUGAUGUACCUGUGUACAUACAUCAACUGAUGCCUCUGGACACAUCUUCAGUGGUGUUCCUGGAAUCACUGGGUGUUUCGGGUGUUUCAAUAUCAUACACCCUCCUCCAAGUGACCCAGCUGGGGCUGAUCAGACCCCAGCUUGUGUCCAGAAGGCUAGCUACUUAUGACUCAAUGGCUCCCCACUUUUGAACCACAGCCAUCUUGAGGCCCUCUCUGCUGCAUCAGUGAUACUGCAGAUGGCUCUCCUCUUCCUCUCUCCCUCAAUGCCCAAAUUGCUGAAGGCUCUGGCUAAAGAAUGGGCUGCAAAUCCCCUACAUCCAACCUCCACUGGGCUUAUUGACCUCUCCCUUUGCCGUUGCCUCCAGAAUUUGGUUGACAUCUUUGUCAAACUGCUACCACAGUAAAGUCAUGUUAGCUGUAGGCCGUUUGAUCCGCAUCCUGUUAGACUUGAUGUUAGAGGGAUUAGUUUGCAACACUUGGAGGUUCCAGGCACUAUGGGGUGACUCCGGGCCUGGCACCUCCUUCGUCUCACCAGGUUGGACACCUGCAUGUUGUGCUGCUCCUGCUCCUGCCAGACACUUCAUCCUUGCUUGGUGGAUCUUCAAACUGCAAUCAUUCUUGCACAUUACCUAAUAUAUCAAUGUAACUUAUAGUCCCUUUGGGAUGAAGAAGGGAAAGAGAGUUUCACAAGCUUCUGUCUAUAUAUGUUCCUAAGGGUUGACCGGAAUUGGCAACCAGAUUUACCAUGUCCUAAGUUAGAGUACUCCCCCAAUGGUUAAAUAAACUUUUCAACAUAAGGACUGUAUGGCGACUCAGCAGUUAGCAUAACGUUAUUACAGCGAUCACUAACUGGGGUUCAAUUCCUGCCACUGGUUGUUAUCUUGCUUGCUUAUAAGAACAUUGAAUUUUGUCCUGCAUAAGAAUACAGUUAUAAACAUGAACACAAUAACAUCCAUUAGCAUCGGAAGCUUUCACCAUAUGAAACAAGUUCCUGUGGUUUUUGUCCCUGGGCAACUGGUAAAUUGUUUUUCUUUUAUUGUCACAUGUACCUGGAAUACAGAACAGUACAGUGCAGUGCAGGUUCUUCACUGCCAAGCUGUUAACCUACUCUUAAGAUCAAUCCCACCCUUCCCACCUACAUAGCCCUCCAUUUUUCUAUCAUCCUCGGGCCUAUCUAAAAGCUUCUUAAAUGUCACUGGUGUCUUGUUGAAGGGUCUCGGCCCAAAACAUUGAUUGUACUUUUUUCCAUAGAUGCUGCCUGGCCUGCUGAGUUCCUCCAGCAUUUUGUGCGUGUUUCUUAUAUGUUCCUAAUGUAUCUGCCUCUACCACCACCCCUGACAGUGUGUUCCAUACACUCACUACUUCCUAUGUAAAGAACUUACCUCUGACAUCCCUACUACAUAUCCUCCAAUCACCUUUAAAUUAUACUCCCUUGGUAUUAGUAAUUUCUGCCCUGGGUAAAAGUUUCUGGCACUCCACUCAAUCUAUGCCUCUUACCAUCUUGUACAAUUCUAACAAUUCACCUCUCAUCCUCCUUUGCUCCAAAAAGAAAAACCCUGGCUCAGUCAACCUUUCCUCAUAAGACACACAGUUAGUUAAAGUGAAAAACUAUCUUUGCAUGCUGUCCAUACAAAUUAUUUCAUUACAACAGUGCAUUGAGGUAGUACAAAGUAAAACAAUAUCAGACUGCAGAAUAACCGGACCAGAGAAGGUAGUGCAGUUAGACAAUAAGGUGCAAGGUCUUAACAAGGUAUGUUGUAAGGUCAAGAGUCCCUUUCUAUCAUACUAGGGAACAAAUCAAUAGUCUUGUAACAGAGGAAUAGUAACUCUUGAGUCCGGUAGUAUGUGCUUUCAGGCUUUUGUCAUUUGCUUGAAGGGAGGAUGAAGAAGAGAGAGUAUCUGUGAUGGGACAUUCUCUCUUCUACCCCCUCCCAUCGAGGCAGCACGGUGGCAGAGCAGUUAGCACAACACUUUACAGUUGACACUGUUGCUGAUCAAUGAUUACUGGUACUGUAAAGCAUUUCGCUAACUGCUACAUUACCAUGGCGUGCCGCCAAGUAUCACUCCACCAGUGAUAGAUCAUUCUCUAACCACACACCACUUUACAACUUCAUCUCUGGCCCAGUCCUCAAACACAAUUUCAUAGUCAUCAUGAAUCAUCAGAAGAAUUUUUUCCCCUUUCCUUUGAGUUAAGUUGCUCCUGAUCCUUCUCUUCCCAGCUGUAUAACUAGAGCACAGGGCCCAUUCUGACAGUCCUCUUGCCCCUGAACCUGGUCUCUCAUACUUUUAUACAUGGUGCAUUUUCAUUCCCAGACACAAACAUAGCAUAUUCAUUAAUAUGUGGUGAAACUUGCAGGCUGCCCAGCACAAUCCUCGCCAACUUGAUUUGAUGGAAACGACACAUUUCACUAGCUAUUUUGAUGUACAUAUGACAAAUAAAGCUCAUCUUUAAUUUUUUUAUCUUAGUGGAUAGUUGGGGCGGGAGAUUGAAGGCACUAUUGAGAGUCAGUGUAAGAACAAUUACAUUAAGCUUAGGAAUUACCUGAUGGAGGUUCCAUCAGUGUAGUAGUGAAAGGGUGGAGUCACCACAGAAAUGCCAAAUGCUGGUAGUUCAUGUGGCAAUGUGGAUUUGAUUUCCACCACAAUGUUCCAAAAAGAAACUAGCUUUAUUUGUUUCUUGUGCAGUGCAUUGAAACAUCAAAACAUGCACCAUUUGUGUCAAAUCAAAUUAGCAAGGAUUGUGUUGGGCAGCCUGCAGGUAUUGCCAUGCUUAAGGCGCCAAUAACUUACUAACCCCAGCCUUAACCGUACUUCUUUGGAAUGCAGGAUCAUUGUAUUGUGAGUUAUAUAGAGGGAGGAGUGAGACAGGGAAGGGAGGGGCAUAAGCAUCAGUGUCUGAUUAAGUUCCCAAAAUGACCACAAAUUGGCUGUUACCCUAUUUCACUAUGCAGCUAAAGGAAAUUUGAGUGUAUCAUGUUGAAAACUAAGUCAGGUCAGUGGAAAAGGUCAUUGGCUGCAGUCUACCAUCACUGCAGGACUUGUAUGUUUCCAGGACAAAGAAGUGAGCAGGAAAAAUAAUUGUGGACAGACUCUACCCACCUACAAACUGCCUUUUCCAAAAGCUCCCUUUUGGAAAGCCCUACAGGGCUAUUAAAACAAAACUUCACGCCAUCUUAAACAUUUCUUCCUUCAAGCAGUUAAUCUGAUCAACCACCUAAUUAUCCCCAACCCCUCUAUCUAUUUACUCCCAUCGCUACGCUGUAUCCAUAAAUACUUAAACCACUUUUUAUAAUGCUGUUUACAUUGUAAAUACCUCUAGUAUUUAUGCCAUCUUAUUCCAUAUUUGUAAUUAAACCUUUAACUUACUUUUAUAUAAUUCUUUAUAAUUGUCAAUUUUUUUGUUGCAUAUCACACCCUGACCAACACACCACAGCAAGUUCUUAAUAAAUGUAAAUAUAUAUGGCAAAUAAAGUUGACCCUUGAAUAUUAUGAUUGAAUUUUGUAGAUACAGUAUUCAGAAGUACUGAUUUUAGACCAUUCUGCCAAUAGGGGGCGGUUGAAACUAAAUGUAGAUGCAGAUAAACAGUGAUCAUAUGGGACCAAGAAACCAACAGAAAGGAAAAUGCAUUAAAGUUAUCAUGUUAAAUGCAAGUCUGUGAAGAGAUACAAGGCUACAGCGCUUAUUUCUGAAGUACUAAGAGCAGAAUAAUUAAUAAACACAAGUCAUCUAUUAUAAGGAAUUUAGGACACAAAAAAAAGCCAUGAGCUCAACUGAACUAAAGUAGUAUUCCAUAUGAGCCUCUUCUCAUCUUCCUUUGUUACACACCAUCUCCCUUUUCUACUUUUCUGGCUUUUCAAAUCAGCCACAACUAUUCCAUGAAAUAAUAAGUUCGACAUUUUCAGCAUUUUCUCAGGUUUCUCCUAAAUUCCUUAUGUGAUUUAUUGGUAGCAGGCAUAUAUGAAUGGUCCCUAGUUUUGGCUUCCUGCCAUAAAGGGUUACAUCAUCUCUGAAUAUGCCCUGUCAAACUCUAUCUUCAUUUUGAAGUCUUACGUCAGGUCAGUUAACAAGCACCUUAAGAGAAUUGUUCCCUUCCUGUACAAAUUCUCCUGAUAAUUACAACUUUCCUGUUCUGUUAUAUAUUCCCAGAAAAAUUGCUAGCGUCCCCUCUAGCACCUCCAUAUUUUUAUAUUAGAUUGAAAAUCUGCUGUAUUGUAAGAAUUGUUGCGGCAUAAACUACUGGGUAGACUUUACCUAGAGAACUAUAUGUCUUUAAAGACUAACUUUAUUUGUCACAUGUACAACUAAACAUACAGUGAAGUGUGUCUUUUGCAUCAAAUCAACUAAGAUUGUACAGGGCAGCCCGCAAGUCCCCACACUUAUGGCACCAACAUAACAUACCCACAGCUUACCAUUACUAACCCUAACCUGUAUGUCUUUGAAAAUUGAGGAAACAAAAGCACCUCGAUGAAGCUCACACAAUCACACGGAGAACAUAUAAACUCUUUACAGGCAGUGGCAGAAAUUGAAUCCUGAUUGGUGAUUGCUGGCACUGUAAAACAAUGCACUAACAGCUAUGCUACUGUGCUGCCACUGUGUCAUUUUGGCUGUCAGUAUAAUUCCACUUCAGUGGAUGCACAGGCAACAAUAUUCUGCAUCAGGAAUUUAAGUUGGAGGAUAAAACAGCUCUUAAGUGGCAAAGUUACGCUUUCGUUAAAUUUGGGCUAUUGCUCAGACCUGCAGUUGAUGUAAGCAAUCAAUGCUAGAAAUCUAGAAUUAGGCUCUUGGGCCUGAAUUUUUGAAAAUUAUGGUCCAUUGUUAUGCUCCAUCAAUGUCAACAAUCUCGUGUAGAAAUUAUAGGAUGAGUCUCAUGAAAUUAUUUCCUGGGAAUUCUGCAAUGUUUUUAGCAAGAACUUAAGCAAACCUUGCAAAAAUGGGUGCCAUCUUUCAGAUGAGAUUGCAUGCAGCAUAAUGGCAGUGAUCAGGAAUUGGAAUUUUAAUCCCGCUGCUGUCUUUAAGGAGUUUGUACCUUCUCCUUGUGGCCAAGUGAGUUUCCUCCAACAUUCCGAAACAAAAAUGAUAUAUGGGUUAGGGUUAGUCAGUUGUUGGCAUGGUAUUGGCACUGGUAAUGUGGCAACACAUGCGGGUUGUCCAGCACAAUCCUCACUGAUCUGAUAUGAAGCAAACAGCGCGUUUCAUUGUAUGUUUUGAUGUUUGGUUUUUCAUGUGACAAAUAAACACAUCACAGACAUUGUUUACCGUUGACACAAAUGACACAUUUCACUCUAUGUUUUGAUGUACUUGUGACCAACUAAUCUUUUAAGAUCUUUAAAUAUUUAGGCUUGUGCCAAUUACACCAGAGGCCACCAACCUUUUUUGCACCGCGGACCAGUUUAAUAUUGACAAUAUUCUUGCGGACCAGCCGAUGGUGGGGAGGGGGUUUAGGGAUGUUAAUCACCACCGGAAUAUAGAUGAUAAGUCAACUAUAAGUCAUUUAUAAGUGGCUAAUAGACUCAAUUUCGUUUCUAAAAGGGUUUAUCUAAUAAAUUUAAUAUUAAACACACAGCGCAUAUUUUCCUCACAUGAAUAUAGUGAUAAGUCAAUUGUAACUCACUUAUAAGUCAAUAGCAUCAUAACAUUUUAAGUAACGUUUGGAUCUUAAACACACAGCGCAUAUUUUCCUCGUACGAAUACAUAAAAUCAUUGCAACACACCAGUGAGAGGACAAGGUAAGGGCCGGAGGUCCCCAUACUGGGGCCGUGGUGGUCGCAGUCCGGAGAGAGCAACUGACCAAGCAAGGAGUGCAACAGGGUGUGUGCCCCGCCCCCUCCAUAGAUACACUGACAUUGACUUUCAUAAGACCAGACUAUGCAGCUUGCAAGAGUAAGAGUAAAAAGUGUAAAAAUUACAGAUCCACCGUGGCAAUAAGAGGCUCCACUGGCUUCCACGUACUGUAAGGAACAGAGUGGGUGCCCACCUUCUCAAGUCUAAGAUACCCACAAAACAAAGAAACACAACAGAAUGCAUGAAAAACCACACACAGCAAAGACUGACAAACAUCGAAUGUGUGAAAAAGAACAAAUCCAGCAGAUGAUACGGGAAACAUGAGCUGCAGAGUCCCUGAAAGUGAGUCUACAGGCUGCAGAGUCAGUUCAUUGUUGAGUGAUACAUCAUGGAACAGGCCCUUCAAAUCCAACGUGUUGUGCUGCCGAGCAACCCACCAAUUAAACCCUAGCCUAAUCACAGAACAAUUUACAAUGACCAAUUAACCUACAUACGAGUAUAUCUUUGGACUGUGGGAGAAAACUGGAAUACCCAGAGGAAUCCCACAUGGUCACAGAGAGGACAUUCAGGCUCCUUAUAGACAGUGGCGGAAUUGAACUCUGCCCUCCAAUGCCUAAGCUGUAAUAAUGCCGUGCCAACUGCUAUGCUACUGUAUUGCCAUUGCUUGUUCAUUUUUCAAACAAAAUCAUCAAGACAGUUUAUCUUAUCCCAAGUUUUCUUAUGCCUAUUUUCAUUUUUGAGAUGAGAUCAUGAUGGGCCUAUCAUAAAUAUAACAUUUUUCAGUGUUUUUGUAAUAAAUUUCAAUGGCAUCGUACUGACUAAUUAAAAUUUUAAAGUUGGUAAUUCUAACACCAUUGUCACUCUGGCAGCAGUUCAGAAACUCAAAAGAAAACUGGUACGAGCUGCUUAAAAUCAUCUUAACUCAGAAAACAGCAUUAUUUUGCAUAUGUCUUGGUGUCCAUUAUGAAAUUCAACAUACUUUUUGAUGGAAUUUUUAUUCUCCCGAAACUGCCCUGGCUGCUGUGCUCCUUACCUGCUAAAAUGAUGAAUAGAUAAGUGAGGUUUUGGGUUCAAUUGUUUGCAUGAUUUCUGCUUUUUCCUCUUUCUCUUGCCCUUUUUCUUUUAUUUAUUUAUUUUCUUUAAUUGAGUUCUUUCAGGUUUCUUGCUUUGUGGAUAUCUGUAAGCAAACAAAUCUCAAGGUUGUAUAAUUUAUACAUUCUUUGAUAAUAAAUGUAAUUUGAAUCUUUGUUGUAAAUUUUCUCCAGAUUAUAUGGAUAAUGGAGCAAAAUGCAACACUCAUCCCCAGCAUGUUAUUUGCAGCUCACUAGUCUGAAAGAUGACAGUCCUUCUUUAUAGAACAUAGGACAUUACAGCACAGUGCAAACUGUUCAGCCAUGAUAUGAUGACUUUAUUAAUUACUCUAAGAUCAAUCUAAAGUUUCCCUCCUACAUACCCCUAUAGUUUUCUGUCAUCCAUGUGCCUAUCUGAAUAUCGUAAAUCUCGCUAAUGUAUCUGUCUCUACCAUCACCCCAGCAGCAUGUUCCACGCACCCACCACACUCUAGUUAAAGAACUUAACUUAUAACCCCCUAUACUUUCCUCCAAUCACUUUAAAAUUAUGUCCUCUUGCAUUAGCCAUUUCACCCUCGGAAAAUGUUUCUUUAUGAAGUCACCUCUCAUCCUCCUUUGCUCAAUAGAGAAAAGCUGUAGCUCACUCAGCUUAUCUUCAUAAGACAUGCUGUCUAGUCCAUACAGCAUCCUGGUAAAUCUCCUCUGCACCAUCUCUAAGACCAUGGGAGUGUGCAGAAGAAUUGUGGGGAAUUGGUAGAAAGAGCAGAAAUAAACAGACAGCAUUCAUGCAGUGCUCUGGAGAGAGACAUGACUCCUAAACGUGUUGUUCUUCGGAACAUUCCCCUGACUCCCUAGGAACAAUGUUCCCAUCCUCCUCCUCCACACCAUUUCACCAUCCAAUUUUUUUUGACAGCAAUACACCAUCCUGCACCGGGGAAAGUUUUGUUUGUUUUCCUCUAGGACAGGCAUGGGCAAACUACGGCCCACAGGCCAUAUGCGGCCCGUUAAGCUUUUUAAUCCGGCCCACAGAACUUGAUGAAAUUAUAUUAAUAAACCUUGUUAACGUUUUUUCCCCGCAAAUCUGGCGUUUUCCCAAUAGAUGACGCACUCUAUAUACAUUUGUGGUGACCCAUUUCCUGGCACAUCCGAACCGGCUCACAAUUAGCCAGCGUUCCGGCUAAGGGAGAUGGCCUGCGGGGAUUUGCGUGCACAGAGCUUUGGAGCCUCUGCGCCACGGAGGGCAGGUUGAGGGAGGCUUAAGUGAGGCUGGGGAUUUCGAAUAAAGUUUUUUUCUUCGACUGCAGUUACCGACUCCGUGUCGUAAUUUUAGCGCUGCAUGUAGCACACUGCUACACAUUGACCUUUGUUGAGGUGCAGCGUAUUACUCCACAUUUACACUUUACUCUUUGUUCGGCUCGACCUAUUUGUGUGAACAGGCGUUCAGCGUCAUGAACAUCAACAAAGCCAGCCACAGAUCCAAGUUAACUGACCAACACCUCAGAUCCAUCCUGAGAAUCGCCACAACAAAACUAAAUCCAGACUUUGAUGCGCUGGCUAAAAAGGGAGACCAACAACACUGUUCCCACUGAAAUUAAAAAUGUUUCUUCGUUUUGUUUUGUAAAAAAUGCAUUUGAAAAUAUUUUUUUCAAUAAGCCUUACAUGUUACAUGUCAUUUCUGUUAAGUGAUGGACAUGAGUAGUGCGCAGGUGCACGUACGUUCUCAAAAUAAAAAAUGCACUCCAGAUCAAAUAACGCGCUGUCAUUGUUCUGUCUUUGUGCUGGUCGUUGUUGAGUUUUGGCACAGGGGACAAUUGAAUAAGAAGGAGCAGGACAAGUAGACCUGCAUCUCCUACCGUUUUUGAAAUAAAGACAGUCAGGAGGAGAGUGAUGAUGAUAAUAUCUUGAAGGAUAACAGAAUUUUCAGUGCUUUAAAAUAAUAACUGUUACUAUUAAAAAAGCUGUAUUUUAUUCAUUUAAUUUUCAGUGUUUUAAAAGUCAUUUCAAUAAAUAGCUAAAUACCAUGGGACUUCAAAGACAGAUAUUUUGUUGUAAUGCAUUUGUUCAUUUUCAAUUGAAAUUAAAGCACAUGUUUUCUACAUAUCCCAUGAUAUUUUAUUUUCUCUUAUGAGGUGUAUUACCAAAACACUCCGUCCAUCUGCUCCUGGUCCGGCCCCCCUGUCAAAUUUUAGAACCCUUUGUGACCCACUAGUCAAAAAGUUUGCCCACCCCUGCUCUAGGAGCUUGCUACAGAUAUUGCAUCUGCCAACUUAAUUUUGUCAUUCAAAUUGAUAUAUGAAAUGUAAAAUACAUUCUUCACGAUCUUAUGCAAUGAGAUCCAUAUGGAGUGAUCAGCAAUACAUACAGUGCUGAAUUAUGAUUAUAAUUAUUACUAUAAUUAUUCAAGCUUAAGUUAUUAUUAUCAUGCAACUGUACACAUGUAUACAUUAAGCAAAACAAUGUUCCUCUGGAAUCAAGGUGUAAAACUCUGUGUGUGUGUGUGAUACAGCACAUAAAUAAUAUUAAUGCAAUGAUAUUAACAAAAAUAUUCUGUAGAUGUACAAGUUGACAUAUGAAGUACAUAUACACUACAUUGUUAUUACUGUUAUGUAAUAUAUACAAUGCAUUUUCAUUGUAAAUAAUGUAGUUUUAUUUUCAUUAUUACAUAAAAUUAUACUUACAUUAAUUUUAAAAUAGUGUCUUUAUUAUAAACUAUGUAACAUAGCUUAAUUAUUUGCAAUGCAGAAUCAACCUUCAUGAACAGACUUUAGUCCUGAUGAAAGGUCUCAGCCCAAAACGUCAAUUGUGCUCUUCCUAUUCUUUCUGCCUGGCCUGCUGUGUUCCACCAGCAUUUUGUGUGUAUUGUUUGAACAGACUUUAUGUUAAUUUUUGGAUUACAAUAUGCAAGGCUAUACAAUAUAUCAGUUGCAUGAGAAAAUUAAAUUAAUUUUGUGCACUUUGCUAUUGUUAAUAAAUGAGAUAUUAUAUAUAUAAUUAAUGUAAAAUAAUUACUAUCUCGUCUAUUUAUUAUAAUAAGUAAUGCUGAAUUAUGUAUACACAGUAAGGAAACACUAUUUUAUUCAUGCUAUGGAAUGUAAGUUAUCUUUGCUGGUAUUAUCUAUGUGUUAUUAUAUUAUUGCAGUAUUAUUA